rnacentral:rRNA from 1 species
AAAUUGAAGAGUUUGAUCAUGGCUCAGAUUGAACGCUGGCGGCAGGCCUAACACAUGCAAGUCGAGCGGCAGCGGGAAAGUAGCUUGCUACUUUUGCCGGCGAGCGGCGGACGGGUGAGUAAUGCCUGGGGAUCUGCCCAGUCGAGGGGGAUAACAGUUGGAAACGACUGCUAAUACCGCAUACGCCCUACGGGGGAAAGGAGGGGACCUUCGGACCUUUCGCGAUUGGAUGAACCCAGGUGGGAUUAGCUAGUUGGUGAGGUAAUGGCUCACCAAGGCGACGAUCCCUAGCUGGUCUGAGAGGAUGAUCAGCCACACUGGAACUGAGACACGGUCCAGACUCCUACGGGAGGCAGCAGUGGGGAAUAUUGCACAAUGGGGGAAACCCUGAUGCAGCCAUGCCGCGUGUGUGAAGAAGGCCUUCGGGUUGUAAAGCACUUUCA